rnacentral:lncRNA from 1 species
CUAGCUUCUACUUUCAAGUGAAGGUCUACUUGGAAGAAGAAGAAGUCUAUGAAGAAACAUAAAUCUGAAAGCAAGUCAAAAAGGAAGCUCUGAAGAUGGCUACUGACUUCUGUAAUGUUGACAACCAUUAAAAGGAUCUUCGUGUAUACCUAGUGAACCUAAAUACAAGAAAAGAGAUAUGUCUUCACAAGGUAUGUUGGGUCUGCUUAAUAUUGGCAUUUGAGCAUAUAGUGAAUGCCAUUGGAUCUGGG